GACGAAUCGACUGCCGCAGUCGCGCGCUUGCACUCUCAGUGGUUAGCGGAGGCUGAGUGUACGUAUCCUAAAUUUUUUCGUAUACGAAUAUGUAUUUACUGGCAUAAAAAUUCGUUAAUUGUUACUAAAAGUAAUCCACCGAAAGUCUGAAGCGUACAAACGUGGUGUUAUUGAAAUAAUUGUAUAUUGACGUACGAAAAUAAGCGGCUGUUUACUACGAAUGGGGCCGAUACAUUUAUCCAUCGAAAGGAAAGUGGGGGGAAAAUGAGAUCUCAUAUCACUGUGUGAGAAUGUCGAUGCUUCAGUGUAUUUAUCGCGUCGACGCACGUUACUGACUCGCACCACGUUCAUCAAUCCAUUGAUUAUUGUUGUCUUUAUCAUGUGUGUGUUUUAUCGAAAAUAGCGAGAAAAUUUAACAUAAACGCGAGACUCUAAAGUACAAGAACUGAGUGUCAUGCACGUGUAUAUUGUGUGUAUUCAGUGUUUAAGCUCAAUCGAUUUAAUAGAGCAUAAAUUAAUAAGUGAACAGCAAUAUUGAUAUUAACCAUCAUCAUCAUCAUCAUCGGUGAUAUUAUACACCGGCACACAUAUUGUUGAUAUUAUUAUUAUUAUAUGGUGCAAAUUGGAUAUUCAUCGAAAGAAGAAUACGAAAUAAAGAUUCAAAAUGUGGCUCAGUGGAGAAAUAGAAGGCGGUGAUGAAAAUUUCUGACCUCGCGUUUCUAAAAUUCCAAAACAGCGCGGGAGUGUUAUGGUUUAUUGAAAAAUCAAUGAGUAAUAAAAUAAAUAUUAAAAGAAAUAUUUUCAACAAGCAAAAGACCAUUGGAAUCGUGAUGAAAAUAUUGCAGCCAUUUAAUAUAUACGUAUAUACAUAAUUAUUAUAUGCAUAUAUAUACCUUCUACCUUGAGAUAAAAUACCUCGUACCUACAAGUACCUUCAAACAUCAUCUACCUUUCACAGCGCAAUAGUGCCUGGGUCACUGAGUUCAUAAUACUAAUAUAAUAAUAAUAAUAAUUCGAUUACUAUUAUUAUUAUAUUAUCAUAAUACAAUUAUUAAUAAUAAUGAAGAAAGAAAGAGCACGAAAACUGAAACAUUUUAAUGGAACUGAUAUUAAUUAAUUGUUAAUGAAAAAAUAAAACAAAAUAGUCAUAGAAGAAGAAGAAGAAGACGCACAGAUACAUUAUUGAAGAAAAUAAUAUUUAAAAACUGUUAUCUUUGAAUCACUUAAUUGAAACCAGGACAGCCAAGUACCUGCAUACAAAUUUAUUUAUAACAAUUUUAAACAAUACUUAAAACAGUCAAGCUAUAUUUAAAAAAAAAAACGUUAUUAUUAUCAUUCAAUAAUAAUAAUAGUAAUAUGAAUAAUAUUAAAAUUGAAAAGUCAUAAUUUAAACAUAAUUACACAAGUAUUGUCAAAAGUUAUUACUUAACUUUUAAAAAGUUUUGGAAACAAAAUCGUGAGACUCAUUUAUAUUAUCUAGUGACUAGUGCUCUCAUUUCUUUACUAUGUGGAUAUCUCGUUUUGCAAAUGACCGAGAUAACUGGAAAUUUGCAAGAACUGGAGAUUAUGCAACAAGUUUCUUCAAUUGAUAUAUUUAAGUGAUUUAAUGUUCAAUUAUUAUUCCAACAACAUCAUAAACUACAGAUUUAUUCGUGAUGAAUCACUCAAAAUAAGUGAAACAAUGAGUUUAAGUUGAAUCUUGUGAAGAACCAUUUUUUGAAUAUUAUAAUAAAACAAAAUAUUUAAAAUAAUUGACAACGGCUUUUGAAAAAUAAUAAGCCCGUAUGUGAAGCUAUAUUUAGAGCA